GACAGAGGGUGCAAACGUUGUUCGGAUUUACUGGGCGUAAAGCGUGUGUAGGCGGCUUUGUAUGUCGGAUGUGAAAGCCCACGGCUCAACCGUGGAAGUGCAUCCGAAACUGCAUAGCUUGAGUCCCGGAGAGGAAGGUGGAAUGCUUGGUGUAGGAGGUGAAAUUCGUAGAUAUCAAGCAGAACACCUGCGGCGAAGGCGGCCUCUGGACGGUGACUGACGCUGAGACACGAAAGC
rnacentral:rRNA from 1 species